GCUUAGCCUUAAACCCUUAAUUACACCACAAACGCCUGGGAACUACAAGCAAAGCUUGAAACCCAAAGGACUUGACGGUGCCCCACAUCCCCCUAGAGGAGCCUGUCCUACAAUCGAUAACCCCCGUUAAACCUCACCCUCUUUAGCAUACUCAGUCUGUAUACCUCCGUCGUCAACUUACCACAUGAGUGACUUAUAGUAAGUUUAAGGUCCUUACUCGUCAACACGUCAGGUCAAGGUGCAGCUAAUAAGAGGGGAAGAGAUGGGCUACACUCUCUAUUCUAGAACAUACAGAGAACUAAUAUGAAAACUAGUUCAAAGGUGGAUUUAGCAGUAAAAGGGGUCAGAGAGCCCUUUUUAACCCGGCACUGGGGUGUGUACACACCGCCCGUCACCCUCUUCGUAGCUCUGGUUAAAGUACAUAACCAAAUUCCGCAUCGUAGAAGAGGUAAGUCGUAACAUGGUAAGUAUACCGGAAGGUGUGCUUGGAAU
rnacentral:rRNA from 2 species